rnacentral:rRNA from 1 species
UACGUAGGUGGCAAGCGUUGUCCGGAGUUACUGGGUGUAAAGGGCGUGUAGGCGGGAAAUUAAGUCAGAUGUGAAAGUCCAUGGCUCAACUGUGGGAGUGCGUCUGAAACUGAUUUUCUUGAGUACUGGAGAGGAAAGCGGAAUUCCGAGUGUAGCGGUGAAAUGCGUAGAGAUUUGGAGGAACACCAGUGGCGAAGGCGGCUUUCUGGACAGUAACUGACGCUGAGGCGCGAAAGCGUGUGGAGCAAACAGG